rnacentral:rRNA from 1 species
GACGAACGCUGGCGGCGUGCUUAACACAUGCAAGUCGAACGGAAAGGCCCUGCUUUUGUGGGGUGCUCGAGUGGCGAACGGGUGAGUAACACGUGAGUAACCUGCCCUUGACUUUGGGAUAACUUCAGGAAACUGGGGCUAAUACCGGAUAGGAGCUCCUGCUGCAUGGUGGGGGUUGGAAAGUUUCGGCGGUUGGGGAUGGACUCGCGGCUUAUCAGCUUGUUGGUGGGGUAGUGGCUUACCAAGGCUUUGACGGGUAGCCGGCCUGAGAGGGUGACCGGGCAGGCCGGAGGGGGGGGACGGCCAGGGGUGCACUGGGAUGCGGCGGAGCCGCCGACGGCGGGCAGGGCGGGGGAAUGUUGCAGCACGGCCGGGUGCGUGCUGCAGCUCUUCGGCGCGCGGGACUCUGGCAUUCGGGAGGUAAAAAGCUUUCAGCAACGACGCACGUCGGGAGGCGAUAUAGGGAGAAGAAGCCCCGUCUAACUAUG